AAUGAACGUUGGCGGCGUGGAUUAGGCAUGCAAGUCGCACGCGACAUGUAGCAAUACAUGUUGAGUGGCGUAAGGGAGAGUAAUGCAUGGUUAGCUACCCUCGGGACUGGGAUAGCGGCGGGAAACUGCCGGUAAUACCAGAUAACAUCUUCGGAUCAAACGUGUGAAUCGGCCCGGGGAGGCGACCAUGUCCUAUCAGCUAGUUGGCGGUGUAACGGACCACCAAGGCGAAGACGGGUAUGGGGCGUGAGAGCGUGCCCCCACUCACUGGGACUGAGACACUGCCCAGACACCUACGGGUGGCUGCAGUCGAGAAUCUUCGGCAAUGGGCGCAAGCCUGACCGAGCGACGCCGCGUGCGGGAUGAAGGCCUUCGGGUUGUAAACCGCUGUCGUAGGGGAGGAAGAUCCUGUGAAGAACAGGGUUUGACCGAUCCUAGGAGGAAGGGCCGGCUAAUCUCGUGCCAGCAGCCGCGGUAAUACGAGAGGCCCAAACGUUAUUCGGAAUUACUGGGCUUAAAGAGUUCGUAGGCGGCGCAGAAAGUAGGGUGUGAAAGCCCUCGGCUCAACCGAGGAAUUGCGCUCUAAACUGCUGUGCUUGAGGGACCUAGAGGUGAGCGGAACUGAUGGUGGAGCGGUGAAAUGCGUUGAUAUCAUC
rnacentral:rRNA from 1 species